AGCGAACGCUGGCGGCAGGCCUAACACAUGCAAGUCGAACGAACUCUUCGGAGUUAGUGGCGGACGGGUGAGUAACACGUGGGAACGUGCCUUUUGGUUCGGCAUAACUCAGGGAAACUUGUGCUAAUACCGAAUGUGCCCUUCGGGGGAAAGAUUUAUCGCCAUUAGAGCGGCCCGCGUCUGAUUAGCUAGUUGGUGAGGUAAUGGCUCACCAAGGCGACGAUCAGUAGCUGGUCUGAGAGGAUGACCAGCCACACUGGGACUGAGACACGGCCCAGACUCCUACGGGAGGCAGCAGUGGGGAAUCGUGCGCAAUGGGCGAAAGCCUGACGCAGCCAUGCCGCGUGAAUGAUGAAGGUCUUAGGAUUGUAAAAUUCUUUCACCGGGGACGAUAAUGACGGUACCCGGAGAAGAAGCCCCGGCUAACUUCGUG
rnacentral:rRNA from 1 species